GAACCAGUACCGUGAGGGAAAGGCGAAAAGAACCCCUGUGAGGGGAGUGAAAUAGAUCCUGAAACCGUAUGCGUACAAGCAGUCGGAGCGGACUUGUUCCGUGACGGCGUACCUUUUGUAUAAUGGGUCAGCGACUUAUGUUCAGUGGCGAGGUUAACCGUUUAGGGGAGCCGUAGGGAAACCGAGUCUGAAUAGGGCGAUUUAGUCGCUGGGCAUAGACCCGAAACCGGGCGAUCUAUCCAUGAGCAGGUUGAAGGUGCCGUAACAGGCACUGGAGGACCGAACCCACUGUCGUUGAA
rnacentral:rRNA from 1 species